GGUUCGAUCAUGGCUCAGAUUGAACGGCAGAUGCUUGUAAUAUGCAAAGUCGAACGGCAGCACGGACUUCGGUCUGGUGGCGAAAGGAACGGUGAGUAAUGUAUCGGAACGUGCCUAGUAGCGGGGAUAACUGGCGCGAAAGCGGGUUGGUUAAUGCACAUACUUUCGUAAGCGGGGGACCUCGGGCCUCGCACUAUUAGAGCGGCCGUGAUAAUGGAUUAGCUAGUUGGUGGGGUAACGGCUCACCAAGGCGACGAUCCGUAGCUGGUUUGAGAGGACGACCAGCCACACUGACUGAGACACGGCCCAGACUCCUACGGGAGGCAGCAGUGGGGAAUUUUGGACAAUGGGGAAACUCCCAAUCCAGCUUUCCUUGCAUAUCCCAAGCGGUAAAGAUGAAGGCCUUCGGGUUGUAAAGCACUUUUGGCAGGAAAGAAACGGCACGGGAUAAUACCUCGUGCAACUGAUUUGCAUCGCAGAAUAAGGCCUGGUUAAUCACGCGUGCCAGCAGCCGCGGUAAUACGAAAAGUAAGCGUUAAUCGGAAUUACUGGGCGUAUGCGCAGGCGGUUCGGAAAGAAAGAUGUGAAAUCCCAGAGCUUAACUUUUGAACUGCAUUUUUAACUACCGAGCGAGCGUGUCAGAGGAGGUGGAAUUCCGCGUAGCAGUGAAUGCGUAGAUAUGAUAAUGACCGAUGGCGAAGGCAGCCUCCUGGGAUAACACUGACGCUCAUGCACGAAAGCGAGCAAAACAGAGCGAGAUACUCCUGCGUCCACGCCCUAAACGAUGUCAACUAGCUGUUGGGGCCUUCGGCCUUGGUAGCGCAGCUAACGCGUGAAGUUGACCGCCUGGGGAGUACGGUCGCAAGAUUAAAACUCAAAGGAAUUGACGGGGACUCCGCACAAGCGGUGGAUGAUGUGGAUUAAUUGAUGCAACGCGAAAACCUUACCUACCCUUGACAUGUCUGAAUCCCGAAGAGAUUUGGGAGUGCUCGCAAGAGAACCGGAACACAGGUGCUGCAUGGCUGCCCGUCAGCUCGUGUCGUGAGAUGUUGGGUUAAGUCCCGCAACGAGCGCAACCCUUGUCAUUAGUUGCUACGAUGGGCACUCUAAUGAGACUGCCGGUGACAAACCGGAGGAAGGUGGGGAUGACGUCAAGUCCUCAUGGCCCUUAUGGGUAGGGCUUCACACGUCAUACAAUGGUCGGGACAGAGGGUCGCCAACCCGCGAGGGGGAGCCAAUCCCAGAAACCCGAUCGUAGUCCGGAUCGCAGUCUGCAACUCGACUGCGUGAAGUCGGAAUCGCUAGUAAUCGCGGAUCAGCAUGUCGCGGUGAAUACGUUCCCGGUCUUGUACACACCGCCCGUCACACCACAUGGGAGUGGGUUUUACCAGAAGUAGUUAGCCUAACCGUAAGGGGAGGGCGAUUACCACGGUAGGAUUCAUGACUGGGGUGAAGUCGUAACAAGGUAA
rnacentral:rRNA from 1 species